CCUACGGGAGGCUGCAGUGAGGAAUAUUGGUCAAUGGACGAGAGUCUGAACCAGCCAAGUAGCGUGAAGGAUGACUGCCCUAUGGGUUGUAAACUUCUUUUAUAUGGGAAUAAAACGUUCCACGUGUGGGAUUUUGUAUGUACCAUAUGAAUAAGGAUCGGCUAACUCCGUGCCAGCAGCCGCGGUAAUACGGAGGAUCCGAGCGUUAUCCGGAUUUAUUGGGUUUAAGGGGAGCGUAGGUGGAUUGUUAAGUCAGUUGUGAAAGUUUGCGGCUCAACCGUAAAAUUGCAGUUGAAACUGGCAGUCUUGAGUACAGUAGAGGUGGGCGGAAUUCGUGGUGUAGCGGUGAAAUGCUUAGAUAUCACGAAGAACUCCGAUUGCGAAGGCAGUUCACUGGACUGCAACUGACACUGAGGCUCGAAAGUGUGGGUAUCAAACAGGAUUAGAUACCCCAGUAGUC
rnacentral:rRNA from 1 species